UACAGAGGGGGCAAGCGUUAAUCGGAAUUACUGGGCGUAAAGCGCGCGUAGGCGGCUUUGCAAGUCGGGUGUGAAAUCCCCAGGCUUAACCUGGGAACUGCAUUCGAGACUGCAUAGCUAGGGUGCGGAAGAGGGAAGCGGAAUUUCCGGUGUAGCGGUGAAAUGCGUAGAUAUCGGAAGGAACAUCAGUGGCGAAAGCGGCUUCCUGGUCCAGCACCGACGUUCAGGCACGAAAGCGUGGGGAGCAAACAGG
rnacentral:rRNA from 1 species